UACAGAGGUGGCAAGCGUUGUUCGGAAUUACUGGGCGUAAAGGGCGCGUAGGCGGCCAUCUAAGUCAGACGUGAAAUCCCCCGGCUUAACCUGGGAACUGCGUCUGAUACUGGACGGCUUGAGUUUGGGAGAGGGAUGCAGAAUUCCAGGUGUAGCGGUGAAAUGCGUAGAUAUCUGGAGGAAUACCGGUGGCGAAGGCGGCAUCCUGGACCAAAACUGACGCUGAUGCGCGAAAGCUAGGGGAGCAAACGGG
rnacentral:rRNA from 1 species